GACCUCAGAAUUACUACUGGAAAAAAAAAGGACAAUAUGUAGAAGAUCUUGGUCAUUCCAGGAGCAUUGAAGUUUCACCGGAGGCUGCUGACAGUUACUCAUGUUUUCUUAUUGAAGAUCUUAAGAACUCCUCCUCUCCUGUGUGCAAUUCUAAGAGUGGCUGCUGGGAUGUGACUUACACCUCUAGAAGAGUCUGUGCUUUGGUCGGCUCAACAGUAGACAUUUCCUGCACAUAUUCACUUCCCUCUGGUUAUACUGUAAAUAAAACAUUCUGGCACUACCCAUCUGGGGGCUUCAAGGAUAUGCGUGAGGAGCAUCAGUUUGCUGGUCGUGUGGAGUAUGUGGGGAACAAACUGAGAAUCAAAGAGCUCAAGAUCAGCGACUCUGGAGAAUAUCUAUUCAGGAUCAUCACUGACUUAAACCAAUACUCUGGAUCACCUGGAGUCAAUCUUACUGUUACAGAUGCGCAGAUGAAAAAAUCUCA